GCUGUGCUGUUCCUUCAGUUUUCUGAGUCUUCGUUUUAUCAACUUUAAAAUAGGGGCUAGCCUCAGUUCCACUGGAGGGGGAAAUAGAGUCACAUGUAUGUUUGCUACAGCAGAGUGGUACUCCAUUGUAUGGCUAUACCUCACCUGUUGAUUGACAGUUGGUGCUUUUCCAGUGUUUGAAUAUGACAUAUGAAUUCAUGAGCACUCAUGUAACGACCUAAGUCCUGGGGGAGCUCGAUUCAAGAAGACGCUCAUGAUGUGGGAAGUGAUCUGUGUAAAAACUGAAGACUUCAAUCAAUGAUUCUGGGAACACUUGUUAGCCACAUGCAGAAAAAUGAGGUUGUUGAAGGAAACAUUAAGUCCUUAACACCCAGAUGCCAAAACCUUCAAGAAAAAUAUUUCCUAGAAUGAUGUGGAGUGCAAAUGUUUGCCCACACCCAAUGUGAAGGAACCACAGGAAGACAUAGGCCUUCUGUCACCA